AGCUUUCUGAAUUCAUGCUAAGAUUUCGUCAGACACCAACCUUCCAACAUCGAUGUGAUUUCCAAGAUAAGUGAAGUG
rnacentral:pre_miRNA from 1 species